rnacentral:misc_RNA from 1 species
UUUCCGUAGGUGAACCUGCGGAAGGAUCAUUAAUGAGUUGUGAAUGAAGGUGUUUUUGUCUUUCGUAGCCAGCGAGUGUUCCACGCAAGCCAUCUUACACCUGUGCAACUGUCCGGGAAGACUUGGAUCAAAGUAGGAUCACGACGGCGAACUACAGUCACUAAUCUAUACAAAAUAAAAGUUUUAGAAACGCAUUUUUUCUUGAUGGAACCUUAGAUAAAUACAACUUUCAGCAACGGAUCUCUUGUCUCUCCCAGCGAUGUACAGCGCAGCAGAAUG